UACAGAGGUGGCAAGCGUUGUCCGGAAUUACUGGGCGUAAAGGGUGCGCAGGCGGUCCUGCAAGUCAGGCGUGAAAUCCCCGGGCUUAACCUGGGAAUGGCACUUGAAACUACGGGACUGGAGUAUGGCAGAGGGAGGUGGAAUUCCACGUGUAGCGGUGAAAUGCGUAGAGAUGUGGAGGAACACCGAUGGCGAAGGCAGGUCUCUGGGCUGACACUGACGCUCAUGCACGAAAGCGUGGGGAGCAAACAGG
rnacentral:rRNA from 1 species